rnacentral:rRNA from 1 species
AAUCAACGCUGGCGGCGUGCCUCAGACAUGCAAGUCGAACGAUUAAAGCUCUCUUCGGAGAGUGCAUAGAGUGGCGCACGGGUGAGUAACACGUAAGUAAUCUACCCUCGGGUGGGGAAUAACGUCCGGAAACGGACGCUAAUACCGCAUAAUGCAGCGGCACCGCAAGGUGACAGUUGUUAAAGGAGUAAUCCGCCUGGGGAGGAGCUUGCGGCAGAUUAGCUAGUUGGUAAGGUAAUGGCUUACCAAGGCUACGAUCUGUAACCGGUCUAAGAGGACGGUCGGUCACACUGACACUGAAUAACGGGUCAGACUCCUACGGGAGGCAGCAGUCGGGAAUUUUGGGCAAUGGGCGAAAGCCUGACCCAGCAACGCCGCGUGAAGGAUGAAGUAUUUCGGUAUGUAAACUUCGAAAGAAUAGGAAGAAUUAAUGACGGUACUAUUUAUAAGGUCCGGCUAACUACGUGCCAGCCGCCGCGGUAAUAC